ACUCCAGCACUUUGUGUCUUUUUGUGUAUUAACCAGCAUAUGCGAUUCCUUGUUUCUACUGUCUGUCUAAAAGUCUCUUAAAUACCACUAUACAGCCCCCGGCAGAGUGUUGCAGGCCCCACACACUCCCACUAUAAACAGGCCUCUUCAGCAGCAUAGUCCUGCCGUCCUCAUUGUGAGGAGACAACGGUGCCUUCAGGGGAAGAAUGGGACGAUAACUUCUCUCAACAUGACGGCCUAAAGAUUGUCGAGGACAAGCUGAACAAACAAUGGGUGGUGAGCAGAGCAACGAGCCCAGCAGAGAGACCCUGAGAGAAGAGACUGCAGGAGAGGGAGAGGGAGAGGGGGCAGCAGCACGGCCCAGCCAGUCCGAGCCAGCGGACGGAGCCAGCGUUCCCCAGACACACAUGGCCAACAAGACCGUUGACGACAUGGCCUUCAUGGUGGCCUGCACCAACUGGUACUGAGAAACGGUGACCUGCAGAGGCCAUGGGCCACUUUCACCUUAACGCCACACACGCCCUUUGCGAGUCCGCAUCCUCAUAUUUCUGUUAAUAAAGGGGGAGCGUUGUCAUCAA